AUACGGAGGGUGCGAGCGUUAAUCGGAAUUACUGGGCGUAAAGCGUACGUAGGCGGUUGGUUAAGUUAGAUGUGAAAGCCCCGGGCUUAACCUGGGAACUGCAUUUAAAACUGGCGAACUAGAGUUGAGUAGAGGGGAGUGGAAUUUCAGGUGUAGCGGUGAAAUGCGUAGAGAUCUGAAGGAACACCAGUGGCGAAGGCGACUCCCUGGACUCGAACUGACGCUGAGGUACGAAAGCGUGGGUAGCAAACGGAAGUAGAAACCCUUGUAGUCC
rnacentral:rRNA from 1 species